rnacentral:lncRNA from 1 species
GAACUCAGGAUGUCCCAAAGGUCCUCAAGACGUCCCCAUCGAACUCAGGAUGUCCCCUGUGCUCCUCAAGAUGUCCCCAAGGUCAUCAGGACGUCCUCAUGGUCCUCAGGAUGUCAUCAUGGUCCUCAAGAUGUCCCCAUGGAAAUCAGGACAUCCCCUGUGCUCCUCAAGAUGUCAUCAUGGUCCUCAAGAUGUCCCCAAGGUCAUCAGGACGUCCCUGUGCUCCUCAAGAUGUCCCCAAGGUCAUCAGGAUGUCCUCGUGCUCCUCAAGAUGUCCCCAUGGAACUCAGGAUGUCCCCUGUGGUCCUCAGGAUGUCCCCAAGUUCAUCGGGACGUCCCUGUGCUCCUCAAGAUGUCCUCGUGCUCCUCAAGAUGUCCUCAUUGUCCCCAUGGAUGUCCCCAUGGUCUUCAGGAUGUUCCCGUGGUCCCCAAGAUGUCCCCAAGGCCACCAGGACGUCUCCAUGGUCUCCAAGAUGUCCCCAAGUUCUUCAGAAUGUACCCAAGGCCACCAGGAUGUCCUCAGAUGUCACCAAGUUCUCCAGGAUGUCCCCAAGAUCUUCAGGAUGUCCCCAAGUUCUCCAGGACGUCCCCAUGGUCCCCAAGAUGGCCCCAAGGCCACCAGGAUGUCCGCAUGGUCCCCAAGAUGUCCCCGUGUUCUUCAGGACGUCCCCAAGAUGUCCCCAAGGUCCCCUAGAUAGCCCCAAGAUCUUCAGGAUGUCCCCAAGGCCACCAGGAUGUCCUCAGAUGUCCCCAUGGUCUUCAGGACGUACCCAAGGCUACCGGGAUGUCCCCUUGGUCCCCAAGAUGUCCCCAUGUUCUUCAGAAUGUCCCCAAGGCCACCAGGAUGUCCUCAGUUGUCUCCAAAUUCUUCAGGACGUCCCCAAGAUGUCCCCAAGGCCACCAGGACAUCUCCAUGGUCCCCAAGAUGUCCCCAGGUUCUUCAGGAUGUCCCCAAGGCCACCAGGAUGUCCUCAGAUGUCCCCAUGGUCUUCAGGACGUCCCCAAGGCUACCGGGAUGUCCCCUUGGUCCCCAAGAUGUCCCCAAGUUCUCCAGGACGUCCCCAAGAUGUCCCCAAGGUCACCAGGACGUCCCCAUGGUCCCCAAGAUGUCUCCAAAUUCUUCAGAAUGUCCCCAAGUUCUCCAGGAUGUCCCCAAAAUCUUCAGGAUGUCCCCAAGGUCACCAGGACGUCCCCAUGGUCCCCAAGAUGUCCCCAAGUUCUCCAGGACAUCCCCAAGAUGUCCCCAAGCUCUCGGGGACACCCCCCGAGGUUUUUAAUUGUUUAAUUGCGUUUUUCUGAACGGUGCAAUUAAUAAAUGGCAACGAUUUAUCGAUAUUUUUCUUAAU